GGUCAAGCGAAUAAGCGCACACGGUGGAUGCCUUGGCGGUCAGAGGCGAUGAAGGACGUGGCAGCCUGCGAAAAGUAUCGGGGAGCUGGCAACAAGCUUUGAUCCGGUAAUGUCCGAAUGGGGAAACCCACCCGCUUGCGGGUAUCCUGCAGUGAAUACAUAGCUGCUGGAAGCGAACCUGGUGAACUGAAAUAUCUAAGUAACCAGAGGAAAAGAAAUCAACCGAGAUUCCGUAAGUAGCGACGAGCGAACGCGGACUAGCCCUUAAGCUGAUUUGGUUCUAGGAAAACGCUCUGGAAAGAGCGGCCAUAGAAGGUGAUAGCCCUGUAUCUGAAAGGGCCAUUUCAGUGAAGACGAGUAGGGCGGGGCACGUGAAACCCUGUCUGAACAUGGGGGGACCAUCCUCCAAGGCUAAAUACUACUGACCGACCGAUAGUGAACCAGUACCGUGAGGGAAAGGCGAAAAGAACCCCGGAGAGGGGAGUGAAAUAGAACCUGAAACCGUGUGCGUACAAGCAGUAGGAGCUCCGCAAGGAGUGACUGCGUACCUUUUGUAUAAUGGGUCAGCGACUUACUGUUCGUGGCAAGCUUAACCGUAUAGGGGAGGCGAAGGGAAACCGAGUCUGAUAAGGGCGCAUAGUCGCGGGCAGUAGACCCGAAACCGGGUGAUCUAGUCAUGCCCAGGGUGAAGGUGCGGUAACACGCACUGGAGGCCCGAACCCACUCCCGUUGCAAAGGUAGGGGAUGAGGUGUGAUUAGGAGUGAAAAGCUAAUCGAACCCGGAGAUAGCUGGUUCUCCUCGAAAGCUAUUUAGGUAGCGCCUCAUAUGUAUCCUCUCGGGGGUAGAGCACUGUUAUGGCUAGGGGUCAUCGCGACUUACCAAACCAUUGCAAACUCCGAAUACCGAGACGGACUGUAUGGGAGACACACGGCGGGUGCUAACGUCCGUCGUGAAAAGGGAAACAACCCAGACCCACAGCUAAGGUCCCAAAUUUUGUGCUAAGUGGAAAACCAUGUGGAAAGGCACAGACAGCCAGGAGGUUGGCUUAGAAGCAGCCACCCUUUAAAGAAAGCGUAAUAGCUCACUGGUCGAGUCGGUCUGCGGGGAAGAUUUAACGGGGCUAAGCACAGAACCGAAGCUUGGGGUGCAUAACUUUGUUAUGCGCGGUAGAGGAGCGUUCCGUAAGCCGUUGAAGGUGGAUUGAGAAGUCUGCUGGAGGUAUCGGAAGUGCGAAUGCUGACAUGAGUAACGAUAAUGCGGGUGAAAAACCCGCACGCCGAAAGCCCAAGGUUUCCUUGCGCAACGUUAAUCGGCGCAGGGUGAGUCGGCCCCUAAGGCGAGGACGAAAGUCGUAGUCGAUGGGAAGCAGGUUAAUAUUCCUGCACCUCGCGUAAGUGCGAUGGAGGGACGGAGAAGGUUAGGUGUACCAGGCGUUGGUUGUCCUGGGGAAAGGCGGUAGGUUUGGAUCUUUGGCAAAUCCGGGAUCCUUUAAGACCGAGCACCGAGACGAGCCUUUAAGGCGAAGUCACUGAUACCACGCUUCCAGGAAAAGCUCCUAAGCUUCAGCUUACGCAGACCGUACCGUAAACCGACACAGGUGGGUAGGAUGAGAAUUCUCAGGCGCUUGAGAGAACUCGGGUGAAGGAACUAGGCAACAUGGCACCGUAACUUCGGGAGAAGGUGCACCCUUUUUGGUGGCUCAUGCGAGCUAUAGCUGAAGAGGGUCGCAGUAACCAGGCCGCUGCGACUGUUUAUCAAAAACACAGCACUCUGCAAACACGAAAGUGGACGUAUAGGGUGUGACGCCUGCCCGGUGCUGGAAGGUUAAUUGAUGGGGUCAGCCGCAAGGCGAAGCUCUUGAUCGAAGCCCCAGUAAACGGCGGCCGUAACUAUAACGGUCCUAAGGUAGCGAAAUUCCUUGUCGGGUAAGUUCCGACCUGCACGAAUGGCGUAACGACAGCGGCGCUGUCUCCACCCGAGACUCAGUGAAAUUGAAAUCGCUGUGAAGAUGCAGCGUUCCCGUGGCAAGACGGAAAGACCCCGUGAACCUUUACUAUAGCUUUACACUGAACGUUGAGUUCGUCUGUGUAGGAUAGGUGGGAGGCUAUGAAACCAUGGCGCUAGCUGUGGUGGAGCCAUCCUUGAAAUACCACCCUGUCGUGCUUGACGUUCUAACCUGGGCCCAUUAUCUGGGUCGGGGACCGUGUAUGGUGGGUAGUUUGACUGGGGCGGUCUCCUCCUAAAGAGUAACGGAGGAGCUCGAAGGUACGCUCAGCGCGGUCGGACAUCGCGCACUGUGUGCAAAGGCAUAAGCGUGCUUGACUGCAAGAUCGACGGAUCAAGCAGGUAGGAAACUAGGACUUAGUGAUCCGGUGGUUCUGUAUGGAAGGGCCAUCGCUCAACGGAUAAAAGGUACUCCGGGGAUAACAGGCUGAUACCGCCCAAGAGUUCAUAUCGACGGCGGUGUUUGGCACCUCGAUGUCGGCUCAUCACAUCCUGGGGCUGUAGUCGGUCCCAAGGGUAUGGCUGUUCGCCAUUUAAAGUGGUACGCGAGCUGGGUUCAGAACGUCGUGAGACAGUUCGGUCCCUAUCUGCCAUGGGCGUUGGAGAUUUGAGAGGGGCUGCUCCUAGUACGAGAGGACCGGAGUGGACGAACCUCUGGUGUUCCGGUUGUCACGCCAGUGGCAUUGCCGGGUAGCUAUGUUCGGAAGCGAUAACCGCUGAAAGCAUCUAAGCGGGAAGCGCGCCUCAAGAUGAGAUCUCCCGGGGCACAAGCCCCCUGAAGGAACCAUGUAGACUACGUGGUUGAUAGGUCAGGUGUGUAAGUACAGCAAUGUAUUGAGCUAACUGAUACUAAUGAUCCGUGCGGCUUGACCAU
rnacentral:rRNA from 1 species